rnacentral:miRNA from 1 species
UGAUGAUGAUGAUGACGAUGAUGACGAUGAUGACGAUGAUAAUGAUGAUUUUUGUCAUUGUCAUCAUUGUUAUUAUUGUUAUUGUUG